rnacentral:rRNA from 1 species
UACGUAGGGGGCUAGCGUUGUCCGGAAUCAUUGGGCGUAAAGCGCGUGUAGGCGGCCCGGUAAGUCCGCUGUGAAAGUCGGGGGCUCAACCCUCGGAUGCCGGUGGAUACUGUCGGGCUUGAGUACGGAAGAGGCGAGUGGAAUUCCUGGUGUAGCGGUGAAAUGCGUAGAUAUCGGGAGGAACACCAGUGGCGAAGGCGACUUCCUGGCCUGUUCUUGACGCUGAGGCGCGAAAGCUAGGGGAGCAAACGGG